rnacentral:lncRNA from 13 species
CUGCGUGGGCGAGCGUCCCUGCGUGAGCAACCCUUCGUGAGCCUCCGUGCAGGAGCGUCACUUCGUGAGCCUCCGUGCGGGAGCGUCCCUUCGUGUCUAUUGAUUAAUUAUUACGCCUUUCAAGCAUGAAUUAACACCUUAUGAUUAUUAUGCCAGCCCAGAAUAUUCAAUAUAAGCUCAGUUUCUACAGCCAAUUUGGUAGGAAUCAAAUCUGAGUUCGCCUCCAGCAGAUUCGGAGGGCACCAGGCCUUCCGCAAUGGCAAUAUCAUACUGAAUGGGCAAAAACUGGAAGCAUUCACUUUGAAAACUGGCACAAGAAAGACAAGGAUGUCCUCUCUCACCACUCCGAUUCAACAUAGUAUUGGAAGUUCUGGCCAGGGCAAUCAGAAAUAA